CAAGAAAGUCUUUGUUUUGAAAGAUCUCUGGUGAGGUAAACGGGACGACAGGACCGUCAUGUAUAUAUUCACUAUUAGGUGUGUUUCUUACCUUUCGGUAGGUAUUUAUUUCUUUUCCGGUAGAAGAUAGAUGGAGAUCUUCGUAUCGACAUCGACCGAACUCAUCGGUAGUAGUAGUAGUAGGGUUUCUUCUUCUCCUCCUUCUUCUUCUACGUUCUGACCCCAGGCCACGAGUAGAGGAAGUACGAGAAGUAGGAAGAUAGGGGCCCCGAGGAGAAGGUCUAGGGGCCGUUUAGUGCCUGCUAGCUCACGCCGUUUAAGGUGUGCUCGCAUCAGAGGUAGGAGUAGGUGUGGUAGUAGAAGACGCGCGAGUUACGGAAGAAGGAGUAACAGCAACCGCAGGCGUAGCUCAAGCCGAGGAGUAGUACUCAUCAUCUCAUGGGGCGAAGUGGGACAAGAUGGACAAAUAAAAAGAGAAAGAGACAGAGCAAACCAAGAACGACGAACAAUUAAUCAAACGGACACGAGUGACCCUAUACAAUGUACCAUUUUAUGGGCGUAUACAAUGUACCACCUUAGUACACUCAAAACAUAAUAACUCUAAAUUGUUGUCGCAAUGACAUAUACAGUCCCUAGUAUGAAAAAGCAAUUACCUAAAAAAAUAAUCACAUAGUUCGACAAUGUUUAUCUAUUUAACCCGAUCUGUAGUUUCAAUAUGCCGUUUCUUAAUGAAGGAAACAACGUACAUCACUUAUUAGUGAAAUAAAACAACAGAUAGAGAAACAAUACAACGAUAAUACGCCUCUGGCCUUCAAAAUACGAGAAAAGCUAAAAAGAAAGAAGAAUACAGUGACAACUGUAUACGUAACACUACCUGUACCUUUACCUUGUUCUUUAGGUUUUGUAGUACAUAUGUCAUGUUCGUUCAAAACUGGUAGGUAGGAUAUUCGUCUCGUCCUCGUCAAUCCAAAGCUUUGCGUAGGUUUGUUAUAUAUUAAUACAAUAAGACAAAUGUCUGUGUUAAUUAAUACAAUCUUCUCAAUAUAAUUAACGACAGCGACUAUACUAUUGUUGAGUUAAAUCAGCGUUCUUACCGAGUUUCAUUCUUUAGAUUUCUAGUAGGAUUGUCUUCAAACGCAUAAUGUCCUUUACACGUAUGUAUUGUUACACCUCCAGACAGGUAUAGUUCGUCGUUGUGUUCAGUUUAUAUUUGUGAACUUUAGUGCGUCGUUAUUUUUUCCUGCAUGUAACUAAACCCGACCUUUGAAAUAGGUCGAAUUAACCAAGAGUGUAUAUAAGCGACCUCAUAUACACAGCAACCUCAUAUAUACCAACGACGUUUAAGUCCGUAGUUUAGUAAGUUUAUAAACACCAUCUCUUUUGUCCAGGUCCGCCCCAGUACAGGAACUGGUCGUGUUUUAAACAAAGAAAAUCCACAACACACAGUAGAUGUAUUAAACAAAAGAAAUAGGAGAUGGUGAUAGAAAAAAAGGUUACCUUUCGCUUCGUACCUCGAACUCCAUCUUAUACGACCCUAACCAAGUCCUAAACCGUUAGUAGAAGUAUGGAUUCUUUACAAAGGUAACUAAUUUAGUUACACCUUGUUAAGUCUUUCCAGAAAUAGAGAAACACUCCUUUUUUUUACCUCCCACUGUCCGUAGUCCUGAGCGAGAACAGCCUCGGGGGGAGGGGGAAUAGAUAACCGGCCUAGGAACCACACGUGGACCUUGAAAUGCUACAGUACCGGUCCGACCUUACUGCAACUGAAACACGUUAACCACUUCUAAUAAAUCAGAAACAACUGGAACCAGGAGUACAGUCGUUAGAGGAAGAAACGAUUCCGGUAACGGAGCCGGAGCUGGCGAUCUUGGUUGCACCAGAAGACUCAGAAUACUCUAGCGAGUUACAAGGGGUUCUACUACUGCUGUAAGCCCGGACUGUAGAACUCGAAGAACAUUCGUAUUACACACUGCUACGGUUUCGCGCGCUUGCGCCAGACUGUGCUCCUCCCUCACUAUUGGUGUGAACUUUCCCUGAUGCAGUUUCGAAUCUCCUAGGUUUGUCAUCUGCAUACUCCAUGGCUUGUGGGGCAGACCACACUGGGAAGAUCACGCGGAGUACGGGCACUAUAUAUUAUGGGAACUUGAACCAAAAGUGGUCGAGCUAUGUACUGAACAGCUUCACGUAGAAAGAGUCACAUAGCUGCAUCGACUCCAAGUUCGAGCUACUCCACCUUUGACAACUUAUAGCCCAGGUUCUGUUCACGCCCGUUUGGCGGUACCACCUGCUAUCAGACCACCAGUACUGUUUAUGUACACUAGUCCUAAAAGUUGGUUCCUAACAUAAAACCGAGUUUCCUGAGGUGCCUUAUAUGGAGCACCUGUCGUGCGAAAGCUAGAAAGAACCUCCACACUCUACCUAUUUAGAAUAAAUGUAGGAAACAAACAUCACCCAUGACGAAGACGGAC
rnacentral:rRNA from 1 species